rnacentral:rRNA from 1 species
UACGUAGGGGGCAAGCGUUGUCCGGAAUCAUUGGGCGUAAAGAGCGUGUAGGCGGCCAGAAAAGUCCGCUGUGAAAACUCGAGGCUCAACUUCGAGCUGUCAGUGGAAACUUUCUGGCUAGAGUCCGGAAGAGGAGAAUGGAAUUCCUGGUGUAGCGGUGAAAUGCGCAGAUAUCAGGAAGAACACCCGUGGCGAAGGCGGUUCUCUGGGACGGUACUGACGCUGAGACGCGAAAGCGUGGGGAGCGAACAGG